AGUACAAAUAGCCAAAACCUGGAUAUUUUAGGCAAUAUUAAAAUACUGGAUAAAAUCCCGGGAGUUAGCCCAUUUACUGAUUCCCUGAUCAGUGCCCUGACUGAAAAAAGGAAAAAUGAAAGUGUUGUCAAGGAGAAAAUGUCUCUCACGUUUGCUUACAGAUGACAGGAGGUAACGUUAAUGAACCAGGAGCUCAGUGUCAGGAAUUUCAGGGCGAGGUGGCCUGCGCUUUUCAGACAUUACGAGAUCAAUGCAGAGCUACAUAGGCUUAUGGAUGUUCCACUGGAAGACAUGUUCUUUGCACAGUUGGAUGUAUACAUGAGUCAACUAAUCAGAGUAAUCCGUUCCAAAGGAGGAGCAACCCCUGAGAAGACUGCUGCAAUUUUUCACAUAUUGGAUCAGACUGAAAACAUUCACGUGAAAAGAGAGUGUGUCCUGAAGGCCCUCAUCGUUUUCCUGGGGGGAAAUCCUUAAGGAGUAUCUUGAGAACCAGCAGAUGAUUGCGAGGGUGAGCUGGAGCAGCUCACCAUGGCGGUGUAUGUUAUUCGGAAGGAGGAGGGAGAACAUCACGAACCACCGGCUGACAUGGGUGUCGUCAUCAAGGGUGUUAAAGUUCUUAAUGAACUGUCUUCGUCCACAUCAGCUUGUGCCUUGCUUCACCGGAAUGAUAUACAUCAUCAAUCUGGCUUAUCAAAAACCACUUUUUACAUUCGAGGUAUUCCAGAAAGUUCUCUUGCAGCUCGAUCAGCACAAGAUGACACCAAAAUUUCAAAGUCUUUUCGGGAGACUACAGUUAACUUGCAGUAAUGUUUGAAUGUGCAUGUGUUUGAAACAAUGUCUCUAUUUUAGUUGAAUGGCAUGUAUUCUUAUUGUAAGACUAUCUAUUUGUUCAUUCAUAUGUCUAGUGUGUAGCUGUUCAAAUCUGUAGUUGAUUUGUUCCUUUUACAUUGGUGAAAGGCUAAUUACCUAUAACUCUAAGCUGUCAAAACAUUUUCCAUGAGCUGUUUAAGGUUUUAUAUAUAUGUAUAUGUAUGUGUG